GAGAUUUAUUUGAAGAAAAACCCACAACUGGAAGCAAACCACAACUGAAGACGAGGGAACAGCAACAAGUGAACCAGACCGAGGACUGAGAGCAUCAACUGGAGAGGACCCAUCUGACUCGGAGAUUCCAGUGAUUCAGUCAGGAGAAAGUUUGGAAACUGGCAUGGAGUCAAUGGAAUAAGGCAAACAAGUAUUGAGGUCAUGGAACCUAUACAGAUAGAAGAGGAGGAGGUGCUUGCUACCUUGAGGUAUGUAAUGCCUAAAGGACCAGUGUUUGAGUAAAUGAGACUCACCAAACUUUCUCCUGACUGAAUCACUGGAAUCUCCGAGUCAUAUGAGUCCUCUCCAGUCAGUGCUCUCAAUCCUCGGGCU